rnacentral:rRNA from 1 species
UCGUCAGCUCGUGUCGUGAGAUGUUGGGUUAAGUCCCGCAACGAGCGCAACCCUUGAUCUUAGUUGCCAGCAUUCAGUUGGGCACUCUAAGGUGACUGCCGGUGACAAACCGGAGGAAGGUGGGGAUGACGUCAAAUCAUCAUGCCCCUUAUGACCUGGGCUACACACGUGCUACAAUGGACAGAACAAAGGGCAGCGAAACCGCGAGGUUAAGCCAAUCCCACAAAUCUGUUCUCAGUUCGGAUCGCAGU